UACGUAGGGUGCAAGCGUUAAUCGGAAUUACUGGGCGUAAAGCGUGCGCAGGCGGUUCUGUAAGUCUGUCGUGAAAUCCCCGGGCUUAACCUGGGAAUUGCGAUGGAGACUGCAAGGCUAGAAUCUGGCAGAGGGGGGUAGAAUUCCACGUGUAGCAGUGAAAUGCGUAGAGAUGUGGAGGAACACCGAUGGCGAAGGCAGCCCCCUGGGUCAAGAUUGACGCUCAUGCACGAAAGCGUGGGGAGCAAACAGG
rnacentral:rRNA from 2 species